UUGCGGGGGGGGGGGGACGGGGGACAACAUGCGCGCCGCUUCCAGCGUUGACCAUGUUCGCGCGGGGAAUCCUUCGGGCGAAUUUGGUUGCCGCUCGGCGACACAGAAAGGAAAGUUAUUCCUCGGCGGGGAGGAGCCAGAAAGAGUCCACAUCAGAAAGAAAGCUUCAGAAGCAAAUAUGCCAGGCGGUUCUCAAUCAUUUCGAGAAACAAUACUCUGAAGAGUUGGGAGGAGCAUGGAAUUCAGUAAGGGAAAUUCUUACAACACCGCAAUACUGGCAAUAUGCAGUCCUCCUUAAUAAAUUCAGUUGCUCUUCUGAAAUGGAGUCUUAUUUGAGUUUAAAGAACUACCGCCUCCUUUUCACAAGCCCUUCAUCCUCUUUUCCACAAUCAUUGAAAUGUUACAUUGGUGAUGCUCCCGAAAAAUUCCCUUCUCAGAAACACAGAAAUGGACAAUUAAAGGAGUAUUACUUGCUAAAUGCUGCCUCUCUGCUGGCAGUACUGGCUCUGGAAGUAAAAGAUGGAGAAAAAGUAUUGGAUAUGUGUGCUGCCCCAGGAGGUAAAUCAGUAGCCACAUUGCAGUAUGCUUGUCCAGGGCUUUUACAGUCAAAUGAAUAUGAUAACUUGAGAUUCCGUUGGUUGAAGCAGACACUAGAAUCCUUCAUUCCAGAAUCUUUGAUGAGUCUAAUUACUGUUUCUCUGAAUGAUGGAAGAGAAAUAGGAAAUCUUCAGCCUGAAAAGUUUGAUAAGAUCCUAGUGGAUGCUCCUUGCUCAAAUGAUAGAAGUUGGUUAUUCUCUUCUGAUACCCAUCAGGCUACUCUGCGUUUAGCACAAAGGAAGCUAUUGUCUGCUGUGCAGAUACAACUGCUCAGAUCUGCAAUUAAAGCGUUACGACCUGGAGGAUAUCUGGUUUAUUCUACAUGUACUCUUUCUAAGGAAGAGAAUAAUGAUGUCAUAAAUCACAUCCUUGAUUCCUGCAGCAAUGUUUUGCCAGUGGAUUUGCACACCCUAGCCACUUCAGUAUCCAAGGAAUUCAGUUUUGCUGCCAAUGUCCAACAGCAUGAACUUUUGGUUUCAAGGACAGUUGUCUAAAUUUUAUCACUCAGAGAAUCAAUUUAAACAUAUAGGAAAGCUGCCUUCUGCUAUGUUGGGCUGACUGGCAACAGCUCUCCGGGGCUUCUUAUCCAGAACUAAAGAUGACAAAAAUUGAAGCUGAGAUCUUUUGAUGCAAAGUCUGCUCUCUAAAACUGAGCUACAGUCAUUUUCUCUAAAGAUGAAGAACUCUUCCGCAUGUUUCCAACCAAUACAGACCUCAGCUUUCUUUUGCCAAUUGGACUCGCAAUACAUGCUGAUGUCAUCGAUCUAUCUUGUUUUCAUCUUUUUAUUGUGUGUUAAAAGGGUAAAAAAAAAAGAUACGGUCAAGAGUGAAUAUAUUAGCAUAAUAAACAUGGAUUUAAUGCAAAAAUAAGUGA